UUAUUGUCAACAUUUGUAUUUUACAAUUAAUUAAUUUAAGGUGACCCAAUCCAAAUUAUGAUCCAAAUAUGAGUAACUUUUUUGAAAGUGUUAGAUUUGACGGGGAAGUUUUAUUGUCUUCCGUCAUUCGUCGAGCGAAAAAAUAGUUGUUUUUUUUUGUUGCGAGGCGUCCUUGAAUUAUGUUCCGAUGCCGAGCCCGAUAACAUGAUCAUUGUCGGACUCUCUGUUUCUCUUUCCCAACAAGCCCAGACUUGUUGAUUUAGGUCCACCUGGCUAGGACAACAGGAAAACUGCUAUAAAACUAGACCCACAAAGUUGGUGUCCUAAAUAAUACAUAAGGAAGGAUUUGUCUACCUAAAAUCCUUCCCACACCAAAGCAGGCUGUCAACCCACACCAAAGCAGGCUGGGCAAAACAUAAACGAAGGAAAAAGGAAAAUGUGUUGUGCAAAUUACGAUGGAGUGUUCCCAAUGCAGGUUGAGCCGGUCAGAAGCGGUUGGGGGCAAAGUGCACGGAUUAGCUGGCCGAUGCGGAAGAAGCGGCACUGCAACCUGGUCGGACCGACUUUUCUGGAUACCACCGGAGGCGGACAACAACUUUAACCCCGAUUACCGCUGAUGGAAGAGGAUCAACACAGACGUCGCGUCCUCUCCGCCAUGCAGCAGCGGCGUCUGUGGAGACAGUCAACAUCCGAUUGGUGGUCCGGAACGAAACGGUCGUGAACUUCAAUGUGGUCAAAAUCGAUGACAACGUGCUCAUGGUUCGACCGGAAUCGCAAAAGCUCUUCUAAGCUCUUCAAAGGUCAUAAUGGUAUGUAAACUUUUGAAAAUCCUUUUGUAAAGUCUCAAACUAUGUGUAGGGAAUAGAACCAGCCAGUAUCAAUUCAUAGCAAUAUUGAAGAAUAAAUGUUUUGACAUUAAGGGCUCAAAUCAGCCGGGGAAGUUGUUCUCUUCUUCUUCACAAAAUGUUGCAUGCGACAUUACGAAGAAAUGUCGUGCAACGUUUUGAGGUGGUUGGUUUGUUCUGUAGAGUGAUUUGAAGUUGGUUGAUUGAAAUACCUUUCAACCUUUUUUGGUUUAGUACACAUUUUCUGUAAUAAUUCGUGAUUUUACAAUAUUUUUUAGAAUAUUCUGAAAUAAUGCAACACAAGUGCAACAAGCAAUUUAGUUGCGCAGCGCAAAAAUGGCAACAGCGCACCAUUCUUGGCUGCUGCUGCUGCACACGGCCAGCACAAAGCGAGGACAAAGGAGCGUUAUAGGGUAGACUUCACAUUUGUGCUCUCAAUUAUGAAAAUAAAUUUAAGAAAGUUGAUAUUUUUUCAUCAACAUUUUUACUAACAUAUUGAAAAUACAUUGCGCAAUAAUGUAUAGUUUGCUAAUAAAAUUUUGAGAUGUCUCAAAAAGACCAAAGCCCAUUAUCAUCCCUUUUGCUGAGCAAUUUUUCCCUCUCAAGCACAAGAUAAAAAACAUGAAUAGAACAAAUGCAAAAUAUAUUUUCAAUUGUUAGAGCACACUUCAAUAUAAUAAAAAAAAUAUAUUCUAGUUUACUUUUUUAUGUCAGUGAUCGAUCAUGUACUGGACCCUAUUCCAGCAGCAGAGGCUUGCCAGGAGUAUUGUUUUGAACUUGAUCGAUUGUGAUUGGCUGAAAUUUCAAGCACGUGGUUCUCGUGUGUAAACAAACUAAAACAAAUCUCGCGCAUGGAUAUCUCUAUACGCAUCCUGUCUUUUUAGUUGAAUUGUUUCUAAUUAUGUUACAAUGGAUUGCAUGAUUUUUGGGUUUUUCGGCAAACUGUGGCUGUCUACGUGACUGGUAACGGAGUUGUUCACGUAAGAGUAACUCAUGUGUUUUUCAUGUGAUUACUCACGUGACGACUCAACCACGUGUCUAGCUACUUUCGUGACUGAUUUAUGGAAAGAUGACUUUGGACGUUAGGGGAAGUGUCGUGAAAGUUAGUAGAUUGUUCCAAUAUUGUGUUGUAGUUCAAAGUAAAUGAUCGAUGAGUUUUCAAAUGCUUCGAACCAUCGAAUAAUGAAAAA
rnacentral:lncRNA from 1 species